CAAUAGCGUAUAUUAACGUUGUUGCAGUUAAAAAGCUCGUAGUUGGGUUUCUGUCACAUGUGCUCUCCAUGCCUUAACUGGCAUGGUAGUGGUGCGGUGAUAUUUCUGUCGAUUUGCGAUUCGUCGUACUUCAACAGCAUUUACUUUGAGUAAAUUAGAGUGUUUCAAGCAAGCUUUUGCUUUGAAUACUGCAGCAUGGAAUAAUAAUAUAGGACGCUGGUUCUAUGUUGUUGGUUCUGAGGGCCAGUGUAAUGAUUAAUAGGAACAGUUGGGGGCAUUCGUAUUCAACAGCUAGAGGUGAAAUUCUUAGAUUUGUUGAAGACGAACUACAGCGAAANCANNNGCCAAGGAUGUUUUCAUNAA
rnacentral:rRNA from 1 species